UACGUAGGGUGCAAGCGUUAAUCGGAAUUACUGGGCGUAAAGCGUGCGCAGGCGGUUAUGCAAGACAGAGGUGAAAUCCCCGGGCUCAACCUGGGAACUGCCUUUGUGACUGCAUAGCUAGAGUACGGUAGAGGGGGAUGGAAUUCCGCGUGUAGCAGUGAAAUGCGUAGAUAUGCGGAGGAACACCGAUGGCGAAGGCAGUCCCCUGGACCUGUACUGACGCUCAUGCACGAAAGCGUGGGGAGCAAACAGG
rnacentral:rRNA from 1 species